AGUGGUGGACAGAGUGGGGCAGGCUGUGUCUCCAGCCCCAGAGGAGUGGAGCUAACUCCUGUGCUGGGGGCCUGGAGCAAGGUGCUCAGGGAGGUAGCCCUGGGGCUGCUGUUCCAGAAGGAGAAGGGAGCUGGCUGAGAAGGGUGUUACAGUCCAAGUUGUUUGUGAGAUCAUCUGGUUGGAGACCUCUUGGCCUUUCAGCUUGUUACUGUGGGUGGCACAGCAUAAAUCCAGAAGGAUUAAAUUUGAGGCGUUAUUCCUGAUUUACACCAGUGUAAACUCUGCGAUACAAAUCUGGCCUAAAGCAGCAAGAAAAGUCUUCCCUCAUAGGUCAAACCAGCAACAUGGCACUCAGAAGCUUGAACAGACCAGCACAAUCCCAGAAUAAAUGGCAGAAACUGAUGGGUGCCCUGUGCACGUGCCUGAGAGUCUGGGAGAAUAAAGAAGAUAACAGAAAGCAGAAGCGCCACACACCUUACCCUUUCCAGAGCACCAGAAAGCAGUUGUGCAUCUUCAUCAAGCCAGACUGAUUCUGCCUGUAACUGUUCCAUUACACUGUGGGCUAAAUUCAUGGCUUAACCCCAUGAAGUCCUUUGAAGUAAGGCUGUCAGUCUGUCACUUAGUCAAGUGUCUCAGUUGUCAAUCAAAGCUGCCCGCUAAUCGUCCACUCAUGCAUUCAGACUCAGGCAGACAUUGGCAAGUUAUUGCAGCUAUAAUAUUCUAGCUAUUUUUUUCUGAGAGACCUCUGCUACUGCGUUACAGUAUGCUCUAAACUCCCCAGCAAGUGAGACUACCUUAAUUCUUCAUGUAAGCACCCACCAAUCCUUCUGGGCUGACAUAGUCUGCAGUACUUUCCAACUAAAAUUCUUUGUUCACCUCAAAUAUAACUUUGAAUAAUCUAC